UACGUAGGGUCCGAGCGUUGUCCGGAAUUAUUGGGCGUAAAGAGCUCGUAGGCGGUUCGUCGCGUCUGCCCGUGAAAUCCUCAGGCUCAACUUGAGGCGUGCGGUGGGUACGGGCGGGCUAGAGUGCGGUAGGGGGAGAAUGGAACUCCUGGUGUAGCGGUGGAAUGCGCAGAUAUCAGGAAGAACACCGAUGCGAAAGGCAGUUCU
rnacentral:rRNA from 1 species